ACUCCUACGGGAGGCAGCAGUGGGGAAUAUUGCACAAUGGGCGCAAGCCUGAUGCAGCAACGCCGCGUGAGUGAAGAAGGCCUUCGGGUUGUAAAACUCUGUCCUAAGGGAAGAAACAAAUGACGGUACCUUAGGAGGAAGCCCCGGCUAACUACGUGCCAGCAGCCGCGGUAAUACGUAGGGGGCAAGCGUUAUCCGGAAUCACUGGGCGUAAAGGGUGCGUAGGUGGCCUGACAAGUCAGGGGUGAAAGGCAUUGGCUCAACCAAUGUAAGCCUUUGAAACUGUUGGGCUUGAGUGCAGGAGAGGUAAGUGGAAUUCCUAGUGUAGAGGUGAAAUUCGUAGAUAUUAGGAGGAACACCAGUGGCGAAGGCGACUUACUGGACUGUAACUGACACUGAGGCACGAAAGCGUGGGUAGCGAACAGGAUUAGAUACCCUGGUAGGCUCUGC
rnacentral:rRNA from 1 species